GCGAUUCGCCCUUCGGGGUGCAGCAGGCGCGAAAACUUUACACUGCGGGAAACCGCGAUAAGGGGACCCCGAGUGCCAGCACCUAGUGCUGGCUGUCCAGCUGUCCAAAUAACAGUUGUUAGCAAGGGCCGGGCAAGACCGGUGCCAGCCGCCGGUAACACCGGCGGCCCGAGUGGUAGCCGUUAUUAUUGGGUUUAAAGGGUCCGUAGCCGGCCUAUUAAGUCUCUUGGGAAAUCUGGCGACUCAAUCGUCAGUCGUCCAAGAGAUACUGGUAGGCUUGGGACCGGGAGAGGUGGGAGGUACUCCAGGGGUAGGGGUGAAAUCUCGUAAUCCUUGGGGGACCACCGAUGGCGAAGGCAUCCCACCAGAACGGGUCCGACGGUGAGGGACGAAAGCUGGGGGCACGAACCGGAUUAGAUACCCGGGUAGUCCCAGCCGUAAACGAUGCUCGCUAGGUGUCAGGUGCGGUGCGACCGCAUCUGGUGCCGCAGUGAAAACUUGAAGCGAGUCACCUGGGAAGUACGGUCGCAAGGCUGAAACUUAAAGGAAUUGGCGGGGGAGCAC
rnacentral:rRNA from 1 species